AGGCAGGGGCUGCUAGGAAAUGGAGUCUGGCUGCCGUCUGGAUCCGCCAUCUUGCCCACCUCUGCUCUAGAUCAUAUACAGGCAUACAUACAGUGAUGGGGUGGAUUUGUUAUAAUGUAUUUAAAUUUUAAUAGUAAAUAACCCAGUUGUUAACACCUGUAACACAAUUAUCCAAGUUCUUUUCUGGAGGGGAAUUGCACAAGAAAUGACCUCUGAAGCACACAGCAUCAUAUUCUGGGAAUUAACAGAAAAUUGGGACUACUGUGCUACUGGUUCCACCAAGUUAUUAGUCUAUAGUUAAGAGAGGAGACUUGAUUACAAAAUGUCUAGGACUUGAGCGCCCCAAUGGAAAAGAUGUGGAUAAUAAGUUCUCUUGGGGAAACAAAGAAUCAAAAUGUACACAGCAGGUGAUUAAAAUCUGUUCUGGGGGGAGAGCGCUCCGAGCUAGCAGGUUCAGCUGUUUGUUGUUGGCAACAAAGCCUCAGUAGUGAUCACCUGGCAAAGGAGAUGAGCCUCCCCUUUUGGAUUAAGAAUUCUUCCCCCAACUUCCCUGCUUCCAACAGAUGUAGGAGUAAGGGCCAUACCAGUGGUCUCUAUGUAAUCACUUACGAGCAGAGAUUUUUAAAUUGGAAAGGAAGAGAAACACUUCAGCCAAACAAAAUUAUUGAAAUUAACGGUAGUUUAAAACUGAUGCCCCUGGGUGUAGAAGCGCCAUCCUCCAUUCUGCAGGCAAGCUGCUGAAAAUCUCAUCACCUGCUGUGAGAA